GCCGAACUUCUCGCCUAACAUCUAUUUAAUAAAUAGUUAAAUACUUUCUCCCCUAUAUUAAAACAUUUUAUCAACUAAGUAAAGGUGAUAGAAAAAUUUCUUUGAGCAAUAAAAACAGUACCGUAAGGGAACGAUGAAAUAAAACUGAAAUAACUCUUAAGCACAAAAAAGUAGAGUUUUACCCUCGUACCUUUUGCAUCAUGGUUUAACUAGUCCUGUUAGGCAAAAAGACUUUCAGUCUAACUUCCCGAACCUAGACGAGCUACUCUAAGACAGCUUUGUGAGCCAACCCGUCUCUGUCGCAAAAGAGUGGGAAGAUCUUAUAGUAGAGGUGACAUACCAACCGAGCCUAGUGAUAGCUGGUUGCUUUAGAAAAGGAUUUUAGUCCAACUUAAAGUCAUACUUAUUUUUAAAAAUUAGACUUUAAAGCAAUUCAAAUAAGGUUCAGCCUAUUUGAAAAAGGAUACAACCUCAACCACUGGGUUAAUCACACAGUUAAAAGACAAAGUAGACUUAAAAGCAGCCAUCUUAAAUAAAAGCGUCAUAGCUUACUCCUAUAUCUGCAUAAUUACAAAAAUUCUUCUUAACCCUUCACUACUAAAAAGCAACUCUAUACCUCUAUAGAAAAUUUUAUGUUAAAACUAGUAACAAGAAGCAGCCCUUCUCUUAAAUGCACCUGUAUAUCAACAACAACCCCAUUGAUAAUUAACACCUUUAAAACUAAAAUAGAAACCUCCUCAAGAAAACUCUAUUAUAACUAGCGUUAACCUAACACAAGAGCAUUAAAAGAAAGAUUUAAAGAUAAAGAAGGAAUUCGGCAAACAUUAGCCUCGCCUGUUUACCAAAAACAUCGCCUCCUGAUUAACUAUAGGAGGUCAAGCCUGCCCAGUGACAUUGUUCAACGGCCGCGGUAUCCUAACCGUGCGAAGGUAGCGUAAUCACUUGUUCUUUAAAUGAGGACUAGUAUGAACGGCUUCACGAAAGCUAUACUGUCUCCUUUAUCCAAUCAGUUAAACUAAUCUCCCCGUGAAGAAGCGGGGAUACUUCUAUAAGACGAGAAGACCCUAUGGAGCUUUAAACUCUUUAGACAUUUGAACUACACAUAAAACUUUCAGAAAAAUUUAUUAAACCAAUCAUUUUGUCCUAGGUUUUAGGUUGGGGUGACCACGGAGAAAAAAUCAACCUCCACGUAGAAAGAAACUACCUUCUAAGCAAUAAGCCACACCUUUAUGCAUCAACAUAUUGACCUAAAUUGACCCAAUUAUUUGAUCAACGAACCAAGUUACCCUAGGGAUAACAGCGCAAUCCGCUUUAAGAGCUCUUAUCGACAAGCGGGCUUACGACCUCGAUGUUGGAUCAGGAUAUCCUAGUGGUGCAGCAGCUACUAACGGUUCGUUUGUUCAACGAUUAAAAUCCUACGUGAUCUGAGUUCAGACCGGAGUAAUCCAGGUCAGUUUCUAUCUAUAAAGCGUUUUUUCUAGUACGAAAGGACCAAAAAAACAUGGCCAAUGCCCUAAAAUGUAAGCCAUCCUUCCCAAACUUAUGCCUAAAACUCAAUAAUCAAGGACCUCUUACAAGCUCUAAGACCAAGACUAAACCAU
rnacentral:rRNA from 1 species